rnacentral:rRNA from 1 species
CUACGGGCGGCAGCAGUGAGGAAUAUUGCGCAAUGGGGGAAACCCUGACGCAGCGACGCCGCGUGGAUGAUGAAGGCCUUCGGGUCGUAAAAUCCUGUCAGAAGGAAAGAAGUGUAUGGUAGCUAAUAUCUGCCAUACUUGACGGUACCUUCAAAGGAAGCACCGGCUAACUCCGUGCCAGCAGCCGCGGUAAUACGGAGGGUGCAAGCGUUGUUCGGAAUUACUGGGCGUAAAGCGCGCGUAGGCGGUUUUAUAAGUCAGAUGUGAAAGUCCACGGCUCAACCAUGGAAGUGCAUUUGAAACUGUAAGACUUGAGUAUUGGAGGGGGUAGUGGAAUUCCCGGUGUAGAGGUGAAAUUCGUAGAUAUCGGGAGGAAUACCGGUGGCGAAGGCGACUAUCUGGCCAAAUACUGACGCUGAGGUGCGAAAGCGUGGGGAGCAAACAGGAUUAAUACCCGCGUAGUC